GCAAGUCGAACGGUAACAGGAACUAGCUUGCUAGUUUGCUGACGAGUGGCGCACGGGUGAGUAAUAGAUAGAUAAUGUGCCUCUUAGUCUGGGAUAGCCAUUGGAAACGAUGAUUAAUACUGGAUACUCCUUCUAACUCUAAUGUUAGUUGGGAAAGUUUUUCGCUAAGAGAUCAGUCUAUCUCCCAUCAGUUAGUUGGUAGGGUAAUGGCCUACCAAGGCAAUGACGCCUAACUGGUUUGAGAGGAUGAUC
rnacentral:rRNA from 1 species